GAUGAACGCUGGCGGUAUGCUUAACACAUGCAAGUCGAACGGACUCUUCGGAGUUAGUGGCGGACGGGUGAGUAACGCGUGAGAAUCUGGCUUUGGGUUCGGGACAACCACUGGAAACGGUGGCUAAUACCGGAUGUGCCGAGAGGUAAAAGAGAAAUUGCCUGAAGAUGAGCUCGCGUCUGAUUAGCUAGUUGGUGAGGUAAAGGCUCACCAAGGCAGCGAUCAGUAGCUGGUCUGAGAGGAUGACCAGCCACACUGGGACUGAGACACGGCCCAGACUCCUACGGGAGGCAGCAGUGGGGAAUUUUCCGCAAUGGGCGAACGCCUGACGGAGCAAUACCGCGUGAGGGAAGAAGGCUCUUGGGUUGUAAACCUCUUUUCUUAGGGAAGAACAAAAUGACGGUACCUAAGGAAUCAGCAUCGGCUAACUCCGUG
rnacentral:rRNA from 1 species